CGCGUAGGUGGUUUGGUCAGUCAGAUGUGAAAGCCCCGGGCUCAACCUGGGAACUGCACCUGAUACUGCCAAACUAGAGUACGGUAGAGGGUAGUGGAAUUUCCGGUGUAGCGGUGAAAUGCGUAGAGAUCGGAAGGAACACCAGUGGCGAAGGCGACUACCUAGACCGAUACUGACACUGAGGUGCGAAAGCGUGGGUAGCAAACA
rnacentral:rRNA from 1 species